GAUGAACGCUGGCGGCGUGCCUAAUACAUGCAAGUCGAGCGAACGGACGAGAAGCUUGCUUCUCUGAUGUUAGCGGCGGACGGGUGAGUAACACGUGGAUAACCUACCUAUAAGACUGGGAUAACUUCGGGAAACCGGAGCUAAUACCGGAUAAUAUUUUGAACCGCAUGGUUCAAAAGUGAAAGACGGUCUUGCUGUCACUUAUAGAUGGAUCCGCGCUGCAUUAGCUAGUUGGUAAGGUAACGGCUUACCAAGGCAACGAUGCAUAGCCGACCUGAGAGGGUGAUCGGCCACACUGGAACUGAGACACGGUCCAGACUCCUACGGGGGGCAGCAGUAGGGAAUCUUCCGCAAUGGGCGAAAGCCUGACGGAGCAACGCCGCGUGAGUGAUGAAGGUCUUCGGAUCGUAAAACUCUGUUAUUAGGGAAGAACAUAUGUGUAAGUAACUGUGCACAUCUUGACGGUACCUAAUCAGAAAGCCACGGCUAACUACGUGCCAGCAGCCGCGGUAAUACGUAGGUGGCAAGCGUUAUCCGGAAUUAUUGGGCGUAAAGCGCGCGUAGGCGGUUUUUUAAGUCUGAUGUGAAAGCCCACGGCUCAACCGUGGAGGGUCAUUGGAAACUGGAAAACUUGAGUGCAGAAGAGGAAAGUGGAAUUCCAUGUGUAGCGGUGAAAUGCGCAGAGAUAUGGAGGAACACCAGUGGCGAAGGCGACUUUCUGGUCUGUAACUGACGCUGAUGUGCGAAAGCGUGGGGAUCAAACAGGAUUAGAUACCCUGGUAGUCCACGCCGUAAACGAUGAGUGCUAAGUGUUAGGGGGUUUCCGCCCCUUAGUGCUGCAGCUAACGCAUUAAGCACUCCGCCUGGGGAGUACGACCGCAAGGUUGAAACUCAAAGGAAUUGACGGGGACCCGCACAAGCGGUGGAGCAUGUGGUUUAAUUCGAAGCAACGCGAAGAACCUUACCAAAUCUUGACAUCCUUUGACAACUCUAGAGAUAGAGCCUUCCCCUUCGGGGGGGCAAAGUGACAGGCGGUGCAUGGUUGUCGUCAGCUCGUGUCGUGAGAUGUUGGGUUAAGUCCCGCAACGAGCGCAACCCUUAAGCUUAGUUGCCAUCAUUAAGUUGGGCACUCUAAGUUGACUGCCGGUGACAAACCGGAGGAAGGUGGGGAUGACGUCAAAUCAUCAUGCCCCUUAUGAUUUGGGCUACACACGUGCUACAAUGGACAAUACAAAGGGCAGCGAAACCGCGAGGUCAAGCAAAUCCCAUAAAGUUGUUCUCAGUUCGGAUUGUAGUCUGCAACUCGACUACAUGAAGCUGGAAUCGCUAGUAAUCGUAGAUCAGCAUGCUACGGUGAAUACGUUCCCGGGUCU
rnacentral:rRNA from 1 species